UCCCAGCAGUCCGAGUCGCAGCCACAAUUAUUGGGUCUAAAACAUCCGUAGCUUGCUGUGCAAGUCUCUUGUGAAAUCGGGCCUCUUAAGGGUCCGGCGCGCACGAGAUACUGCUCAGCUAGAGACCGGGAGACGUAAAGAGUAUGAAUAGAGUAGCGGUAAAAUGUGUUGAUCCUAUUCAGACUAACGACAGCGAAGGCACUUUACGAGCACGGAUCUGACAGUGAGGGAUGAAGGCUAGGGGCGCAAAGUG
rnacentral:rRNA from 1 species